UUUUGCGGUGGCUAUCUCGGACUCCGACAACGACACUAUUCUCGAAUGCAUGUCAGCCAACCGAACUGCUAUCAACCCAGAAGAAAUGACAGCUACUUAUACCUUCAAUUUUCCAAAUACACAAUUCCACUCAGAGAGAAGGCAUAAUUUACUAUACUGACUAUGUCAACUGCGAUGUAGUGGACUUGGACUUCCAUGGUCAUCAGUGCACACUAUGGGCAAGAAAAGAAGUGAAAGACAACGUGCCACAAAACUGCAUUGACUACUUCGUCGACACCUGUGGCGUCAUCGUCCCUCAACAUAGCAGAGACCUCUGCUUUGAUGGAGAAGGAGACUACAAAUAAAUCCU
rnacentral:lncRNA from 1 species